rnacentral:miRNA from 1 species
CUUCUCUUCCUCUCUUCUCAUAACUCUCGCGAGACCCGGUUGCCAUGGCAACACUCCGCGGGUCUCGCGAGAGUUAUGAGAAGAGAGGAGGAGAAGCUGUGUG